GGGCGAGGGGCUGCAGAUGGUUGCCAAGGGCCCCGUACCCUGAUCCCGACCUGGCAAAGUUUUGGUUGGCCGUGCGGAUGGCCUCCAGCUCCCGGCUCAGGCUCUGCCGGAUCCCUCUCCUUAAGUCCACAGGACAGAGAAGGGGACCCCUCAGGACAGAAACUGCCCAGCUCUGGCCACCACCAAAAGCAUAGGAUCCCAAUAUCCAGAUAACAGCACACCCGCUCUAAGACUAUGAAGAGAAUGUCUCCUCCAUCCCAGCAAUCCUUCCUGUGGGAAUAUGUCUCAAGGACCUGUCUAUCCUGGACAUGUGCCUAGAAUAUAAAAGGCAAUGAGUUAAAUCCUGACCUGCCAUUAGGCAUGAUACCACAGUGGUUCAGAACCAUGCUGUACUUCAUUAAUGAUAAGAAGUGGUGUUUGUUAUACAUCGUCCAGUAAUAAAAGCUGAUUGGAAAAUAA